rnacentral:rRNA from 1 species
CGCGUAGGCGGUUUGAUAAGUUGGGUGUGAAAGCCCAGGGCUCAACCCUGGAACUGCACUCAAGACUGUCUUACUUGAAUUCGGUAGAGGUUGGUAGAAUUCCCAGUGUAGAGGUGAAAUUCGUAGAUAUUGGGAAGAAUACCCGUGGCGAAGGCGGCCAACUGGACCGACAUUGACGCUGAGGCGCGAAAGCGUGGGGAGCAAACAGGAUUAGAUACCCUGGUAGUCCACGCCGUAAACGAUGCAUGCUAGACGUUGGAAACCUCAGGUUUCUUGUGUCGCAGCUAACGCACUAAGCAUGCCGCCUGGGGAGUACGGCCGCAAGGUUGAA